ACGGGUGAGUAACACGUGGAUAACCUACCUAUAAGACUGGGAUAACUUCGGGAAACCGGAGCUAAUACCGGAUAACAUAUUGAACCGCAUGGUUCAAUAGUGAAAGGCGGCUUUGCUGUCACUUAUAGAUGGAUCCGCGCCGUAUUAGCUAGUUGGUAAGGUAACGGCUUACCAAGGCAACGAUACGUAGCCGACCUGAGAGGGUGAUCGGCCACACUGGAACUGAGACACGGUCCAGACUCCUACGGGAGGCAGCAGUAGGGAAUCUUCCGCAAUGGGCGAAAGCCUGACGGAGCAACGCCGCGUGAGUGAUGUAGGUCUUCGGAUCGUAAAACUCUGUUAUCAGGGAAGAACAAAUGUGUAAGUAACUGUGCACAUCUUGACGGUACCUGAUCAGAAAGCCACGGCUAACUACGUGCCAGCAGCCGCGGUAAUACGUAGGUGGCAAGCGUUAUCCGGAAUUAUUGGGCGUAAAGCGCGCGUAGGCGGUUUUUUAAGUCUGAUGUGAAAGCCCACGGCUCAACCGUGGAGGGUCAUUGGAAACUGGAAAACUUGAGUGCAGAAGAGGAAAGUGGAAUUC
rnacentral:rRNA from 1 species